CAGAAUUUGAACGGUAGUGUUUAAAAAUCAGGCUUGAUUAUUUAACAUAAAAAAAGGGACAAAGGCCCCAGCAGAAUAUAAUGGGUGUGACUUAAGAGUUGUUGCUAAGUGUUCCGAUGCUAAGGAAGAGGACCCUGCUCUGAGACCAAUCAACUGCGUGCAUGCGAUUCCCCGUUGACCGCCAUCUGAAGCCCAGUACAGAUGAGCACCAGCAGCAGUCAAGUUGACCUGUGCAGGCAAGAUUUACAGAUCAGGGGCAGCUCCUUCUUCCUGCUUCUACGA
rnacentral:lncRNA from 1 species